AUUGAACGCUGGCGGCAUGCUUUACACAUGCAAGUCGAACGGUAACAGGCCGCAAGGUGCUGACGAGUGGCGAACGGGUGAGUAAUGCAUCGGAACGUGCCCAGUCGUGGGGGAUAACGCAGCGAAAGCUGCGCUAAUACCGCAUACGAUCUAUGGAUGAAAGCGGGGGACCGUAAGGCCUCGCGCGAUUGGAGCGGCCGAUGUCAGAUUAGGUAGUUGGUGGGGUAAAGGCUCACCAAGCCAACGAUCUGUAGCUGGUCUGAGAGGACGACCAGCCAAACGGGGACUGAGACACGGCCCAGACUCCUACGGGAGGCAGCAGUGGGGAAUUUUGGACAAUGGGCGCAAGCCUGAUCCAGCAAUGCCGCGUGCAGGAAGAAGGCCUUCGGGUUGUAAACUGCUCUCGUACGGAACGAAACGGCUCUGGUUAAUACCUGGGGCUAAUGACGGUACCGUAAGAAUAAGCACCGGCUAACUACGUGCCAGCAGCCGCCGUAAGAC
rnacentral:rRNA from 1 species